CUCUUUGUCUCCUAGGACUAGGUAAGCUCUGGACAUAGAUGGAGAAACCUUCCUGGGCUUCUCCAUAGGCCCCAGCCCAGUGUCCCCUGCAAGUGCUAUACGGACGUCUUCCUGUCUCCACUUCUGAUUCUGUGUCUCCCUCACUACAGCAUGAUUGAAGAAGACACCCAUUGUGAUUCAGGAUAUGUACAGUCACAGAGAGAAGCCCUCACACUGACAUAUCAACUCCAUAGGAAACAACAAUACUCACUGCUAGGCUGAUGGACACAAAAUCACCACCCUGCUUGUGAAAUGCACACCAAGCUCUUCUCCUGUGUGGCCUUCAGUCUCCUGUGGGCAGGGCACACAGAGGCUGGAAUCACCCAGAGCCCAAGAUACAAGGUCACAAAGACAAAUGAAAAGGUGACUUUGAACUGCCACCAGACCAAUAACCACGACUACAUGUACUGGUAUCGACAAGACCCAGGGCGUGGGCUGAAGCUGAUCUAUUACUCAUAUGAAGUUAACAGAUUUGAGAAAGGAGAAGUAGCCGAUGGAUACAAAGUCUCCAGAACAAACACAGAGGAAUUUUCCCUCACUGUGGACUCAACCAGCCUGUCCCAGUCAUCUGUGUAUUUUUGUAGCAGCAGUUUUACCACAGAGCUGCACAGCCACCUCCUCUCUGUACAUUAAAGUGCAGUUGGGAAGACUGACUAUGCC